GAUGAACGCUGGCGGCGUGCCUAAUACAUGCAAGUCGAGCGAACAGACGAGGAGCUUGCUCCGCUGACGUUAGCGGCGGACGGGUGAGUAACACGUGGAUAACCUACCUAUAAGACGGGGAUAACGUCGGGAAACCGGAGCUAAUACCGGAGAAUAUAUUGAACCGCAUGGUUCAAUAGUGAAAGACGGUUUUGCUGUCACUUAUAGAUGGAUCCGCGCCGCAUUAGCUAGUUGGUAAGGUAACGGCUUACCAAGGCAACGAUGCGUAGCCGACCUGAGAGGGUGAUCAGCCACACUGGAACUGAAACACGGUCCAGACUCCUACGGGAGGCAGCAGUAGGGAAUCUUCCGCAAUGGGCGAAAGCCUGACGGAGCAACGCCGCGUGAGUGAUGAAGGUCUUCGGAUCGUAAAACUCUGUUAUUAGGGAAGAACAAAUGUGUAAGUAACUAUGCACGUCUUGACGGUACCUAAUCAGAAAGCCACGGCUAACUACGUG
rnacentral:rRNA from 1 species